GUUACCACAGAGUCUCAUUCACUAACAGGUUACCACAGAGUCUCAUUCACUAACAGGUUACCACAGAGUCUCAUUCACUAACAGGUUACCACAGAGUCUCAUUCACUAACAGGUUACCACAGAGUCUCAUUCACUAACAGGUUACCACAGAGUCUCAUUCACUAACAGGUUACCACAGAGUCUCAUUCACUAACAGGUUACCACAGAGUCUCAUUCACUAACAGGUUACCACAGAGUCUCAUUCACUAACAGGUUACCACAGAGUCUCAUUGACUAACAGGUUACCACAGAGUCUCAUUGACUAACAGGUUACCACAGAGUCUCAUUGACUAACAGGUUACCACAGAGUCUCAUUGACUAACAGGUUACCACAGAGUCUCUCAUUCACUAACAGGUUACCACA